rnacentral:rRNA from 1 species
ACGAACGCUGGCGGCGUGCCUAAUACAUGCAAGUAGAACGCUGAAGGAGGAGCUUGCUUCUCUGGAUGAGUUGCGAACGGGUGAGUAACGCGUAGGUAACCUGCCUGGUAGCGGGGGAUAACUAUUGGAAACGAUAGCUAAUACCGCAUAAGAGUAGAUGUUGCAUGACAUUUACUUAAAAGGUGCAAUUGCAUCACUACCAGAUGGACCUGCGUUGUAUUAGCUAGUUGGUGAGGUAACGGCUCACCAAGGCAACGAUACAUAGCCGACCUGAGAGGGUGAUCGGCCACACUGGGACUGAGACACGGCCCAGACUCCUACGGGAGGCAGCAGUAGGGAAUCUUCGGCAAUGGACGGAAGUCUGACCGAGCAACGCCGCGUGAGUGAAGAAGGUUUUCGGAUCGUAAAGCUCUGUUGUAAGAGAAGAACGAGUGUGAGAGUGGAAAGUUCACACUGUGACGGUAUCUUACCAGAAAGGGACGGCUAACUAUGUG